rnacentral:sRNA from 1 species
AGAUAGGUGCGCUAAGGAUUGCAGUGGAAAGCCCACAGCGUAGCGAGGACUUGUAACGAAAAGCCUGACCUGCA